CCUGGGUUUGUGAGCCGUCCUUAAAGCAACAGGGAGCUGGAAGCUGGGCUCGGGGACCCCCAGGCAUCCUGAAGCUCUGAGUCUCAGUAGCCUUGUUCAAAUGGGGACCGCGUCUGCGUCCCCUCCCCCAAACAGAAGCACUCCACGAGACACGGUAACAGAACCGCUCCCGGUGAUGUGACAUUCUUAACCCCGAAGGAACUCUGGUGAAAAGAAACUCAUGUGUGGGUUCAUGACAGAAAGCUCCCCCC